AGAGUUCGAUUAUGGCUCAGGAUGAACGCUAGCGACAGGCUUAACACAUGCAAGUCGAGGGGCAGCACGGUGUAGCAAUACAUUGGUGGCGACCGGCGCACGGGUGAGUAACGCGUAUGCAACCUACCUAUCAGAGGGGGAUAACCCGGCGAAAGUCGGACUAAUACCGCAUAAAACAGGGGUCCCGCAUGGGAAUAUUUGUUAAAGAUUAAUUGCUGAUAGAUGGGCAUGCGUUCCAUUAGAUAGUUGGUAAGGUAACGGCUUACCAAGUCUGCGAUGGAUAGGGGUUCUGAGAGGAAGGUCCCCCACACUGGUACUGAGACACGGACCAG
rnacentral:rRNA from 1 species